UAGAACAUUGGAGUACACAUUCAGCAAUAUAUAUAAAGUCCACUAUCAAGGAAUGUACAAUAAGAAAAUGUAAUAAAAUAUUCACUCAAUUAAAGGUCUGUAGGGAAAAUAUUGGCCUUUAGAAAAGAGAGAUAUCUGAGGAAAUUGAACUAUAGGCCAGAGGAAUGGAACUGGGAAUAAAAUUAUUAUCCAGUAGAAUCUCCUGCACUCCAUAUUCCUAGAUCUUAGAGACCCAAGCCAUGCCUCUGGCUAACUUUCCCCAUUCAGAGCAUGUGACCAUUAGUGGAGCAGAGAUAAGUCUCUACCUUAAGAGAGAUUGAGUACAUAAAGGUUUCCAGUGUGUCACAGGAGACAUACCUGGAAAGGACACCUUCGAAUCUGGUAAAUGUAAGGAAAGCUGUUUAGCAUGUAGGAGAUGGCCGUUCUCAGUGACAUCAUAAAUAGGACCUCCAUGACAAAUUUGUUGUAACUAGGAGAGCCCUAGCUUCUUCUGUGAUGUAACAAUUACUGUCCUGACAGGAACUGCCUCUCACAUAUUCCCUCAGUAACUCUCCGGUUUGCUAAUUGGCCACUAAUUCAGAGUAAACAGCCAUUUGGGAGUGAGAACAAAAAGGAUAAAGAGAUCAGAGAUGGGGAGAAAGAAGCUGACCUUCUGUCUUUGUAUGAAAAAAAAGGAAAAAUAAGUGGAACUUUGAAAAGUUCAGGGAGCCCUUGGAAGGGUUGGAGUGGUAUCGCUGAAGAGAUAGACUUGAUCUGAGACUUACACAUAUGGGAAUCAAGAGCUGGAAGCUUCACAGAAGCAUCUGGACUUCCCUGUUCUUAUGGUUCCUGGAUGUCAAAGAAGAAAAAGGUCCUAAGGAAGGAGGUAAAGACAAGUAUUGGGUCCUCAGGUCAGAGUAAACUCCUCCAAGCUUUGGAUACCUAUAGUGCAUUUUGUGUCUGACACGGAUAUCUCGGAGAAAGAAGUGCUUCUAGUUGAGACUUCAUCAUCUUUGUCUUACUACAAGUAUUACUCUGAAUACCAAUUUAGAUUUCUGAGUAAAUAACUGUGAUUAGUU